UCUCUGGUGGCUCAGAUGGUAAAGAGUCUGCCUGCAAAGCAGGAGACCCAGGUUCAAUCCCUGGGUGAGGAA
rnacentral:tRNA from 1 species